rnacentral:rRNA from 1 species
GUGAGGAAUAUUGCGCAAUGGAGGCAACUCUGACGCAGCCAUGCCGCGUGCAGGAAGAAGGCGCUACGCGUUGUAAACUGCUUUUAACCGGGAAGAAACCCCAGGACGUGUCCUGGGUUGACGGUACCGGUGGAAUAAGCACCGGCUAACUUCGUGCCAGCAGCCGCGGUAAUACGAAGGGUGCAAGCGUUAUCCGGAUUCAUUGGGUUUAAAGGGUGCGUAGGCGGAGCGUUAAGUCAGUGGUGAAAUCCUGCAGCUUAACUGUAGACUUGCCAUUGAUACUGGCGCUCUUGAGUGCGCUUGAAGUGGGCGGAAUGUGCCGUGUAGCGGUGAAAUGCUUAGAUAUGGCACAGAACACCAAUUGCGAAGGCAGCUCACUAAGGCGAUACUGACGCUGAGGCACGAAAGCGUGGGGAUCGAACAGGAUUAGAUACCCGAGUAGUCC